ensembl:misc_RNA Metazoa_SRP Metazoan signal recognition particle RNA
GUGACGUGUGUGUUUCCUUUCUUCUCACUUAUUUAUCACUUGAGCCCAGGAGUUCUGGGCUGCAGAAUGCCCAUUGGGUGCCACACUAAGUUUGGCAUCAACAUGGUGACCUCCUGGGAGCUGAGGACCACCAGGUUGCCUAAGGUGGGGUCAGCUGGGCCAGGCUGGAAACAGAGUGGGUCAAUCAGUAGUGGGAUUGUGUCUGUGAAUAACCAUUGUACUCCAGCCUGGGCAAUACAGUGAGACU